AACAAGGGAACUGAAAUGGUUCCAAUUAAUAUGCCAAUUGAUGUGCCCUAUCCCGAACCAGAAGUGAUGGUGCCCAACAACAACAACAACGAAGCAAUUAACGCCCCAAUAAAUAUGGCUAAUAAUAUGCCAAACAACGGUAACAACAUGAACGUUGCUAAUGCCAUGAACAUGAUGAACGCUGUUCCCAUGAACAACAACGCCAACAACGCUAACGCCAUGAACAUGGCUAAUGUUAUGGAGAUGAUGAACGCUGUUCCCAUGAACAACAACGCCAACAACGCUAACGCCAUGAACAUGGCUAAUGUUAUGGAGAUGAUGAACGCUGUUCCCACGAACAAUAACGCCAACAACGCUAACGCCAUGAACAUGGCUAAUGUUAUGGAGAUGAUGAACGCUGCACCCAUGAACAACAACGCCAACAACGCUAACGCCAUGAACAUGGCUAAUGUUAUGAAAAUGAUGAACGCUGCCCCCAUGAACAGCAACGCCAAUAACGCUAACUCCAUGAACAAGGGCAAUAAUGUCAUGAUGCCAACAAAAUAUUAAAACGGUUACCUAAAACAGAUCAGGAAACGAUUUUGUACCAGACAGAAGGUGUUUAUUUUCUUCCUUCGUUUUCCAUGUGGAGCUGUGUGAAAAUCGUCAACGAUUCAGGACCUGUAACAUAGAAAUGAAAAUAAAAUUCAAAUC
rnacentral:misc_RNA from 1 species